rnacentral:rRNA from 1 species
AUACGGAGGGUGCAAGCGUUAUUCGGAAUCACUGGGCGUAAAGGACGCGUAGGCGGGUUGGCAAGUCAGAUGUGAAAUCCUACAGCUUAACUGUAGAACUGCAUUUGAAACUGCUAACCUAGAGUAUGGGAGGGGGAGAUGGAAUUAGUGGUGUAGGGGUAAAAUCCGUAGAUAUCACUAGGAAUACCGAAAGCGAAGGCGAUCUCCUGGAACAUAACUGACGCUAAGGCGUGAAAGCGUGGGGAGCAAACAGGAUUAGAAACCCCAGAGUCC